CCUUGCCGAAGCUAUGGCAUUGCGUGCAGGCCGACUGCGCGAGGCGCUGGCCGGGUGACUGUGCUUGUGCAAGGCUCGCGGCGAGCA
rnacentral:tRNA from 1 species